rnacentral:rRNA from 1 species
AUUGAACGCUGGCGGCAGGCCCAACACAUGCAAGUCGAACGGUAACAGGAAACAGCUUGCUGUUUCGCUGACGAGUGGCGGACGGGUGAGUAAUGUCUGGGAAACUGCCUGAUGGAGGGGGAUAACUACUGGAAACGGUAGCUAAUACCGCAUAACGUCGCAAGACCAAAGAGGGGGACCUUCGGGCCUCUUGCCAUCGGAUGUGCCCAGAUGGGAUUAGCUAGUAGGUGGGGUAACGGCUCACCUAGGCGACGAUCCCUAGCUGGUCUGAGAGGAUGACCAGCCACACUGGAACUGAGACACGGUCCAGACUCCUACGGGAGGCAGCAGUGGGGAAUAUUGCACAAUGGGCGCAAGCCUGAUGCAGCCAUGCCGCGUGUAUGAAGAAGGCCUUCGGGUUGUAAAGUACUUUCAGCGGGGAGGAAGGGAGUAAAGUUAAUACCUUUGCUCAUUGACGUUACCCGCAGAAGAAGCACCGGCUAACUCCGUG